AUGGAAACCCCAGCGCAGCUUCUCUUCCUCCUGCUACUCUGGCUCCCAGAUACCACCAGAGAAAUUGUGUUGACGCAGUCUCCAGCCACCCUAUCUUUGUCUCCAGGGGAAAAAGCCACCCUCUCCUGCAGGGCCAGUCAGAGUGUUGGCAGUAACUUAGCCUGGUACCAGCAGAAACCUGGCCAGGCUCCCAGGCUCCUUAUCUAUGGUGCAACCAACAGGGCCACUGGCAUCCCAGACAGGUUCAGUGGCAGUGGGUCUGGGACGGACUUCACUCUCACCAUCAGCAGCCUGGAGCCUGAAGAUUUUGCAGUGUAUUACUGUCAGAAGUCUUAUUCCUUUCCUCUCAGAUCCUGUCCUGAAAAUCUAACAAGCCCUACUAAUAUAAAAAGAAACAAACAACCACACAUGUUCCCCCACAUUGUGCUGUGA